GACGAACGCUGGCGGCGUGCUUAACACAUGCAAGUCGAACGGGAAGGCCAUGCUUUUGUUGGGUGCUCGAGUGGCGAACGGGUGAGUAACACGUGAGUAAACCGCCCUUGACUUUGGGAUAACUUCAGGAAACUGGGGCGAAUACCGCAUAGGAGCUCCUGCUGCAUGGUGGGGGUUGGAAAGUUUCGGCGGUUGGGGAUGGACUCGCGGCUUAUCAGCUUGUUGGUGGGGUAGUGGCUUACCAAGGCUUUGACGGGUAGCCGGCCUGAGAGGUUGACCGGACACAUUGGGACUGAGAUACGGCCCAGACUCCUACGGGAGGCAGCAGUGGGGAAUAUUGCACAAUGGGCGGACGCCUUAUGCUACAAUGCCGCGUGCGGAAUAACGUCCUUCGGGUUGUAAACCUCUUUCUCAUGUGAUGUAGCGUGAGUGAGGUUAAUGGGUAAAGAAGCACCGGCUAAGUACGUG
rnacentral:rRNA from 1 species